rnacentral:rRNA from 2 species
GAUCUUCCACAAUGGACGAAAGUCUGAUGGAGCAACGCCGCGUGAGUGAAGAAGGGUUUCGGCUCGUAAAACUCUGUUGUUAAAGAAGAACAUAUCUGAGAGUAACUGUUCAGGUAUUGACGGUAUUUAACCAGAAAGCCACGGCUAACUACGUGCCAGCAGCCGCGGUAAUACGUAGGUGGCAAGCGUUGUCCGGAUUUAUUGGGCGUAAAGCGAGCGCAGGCGGUUUUUUAAGUCUGAUGUGAAAGCCUUCGGCUCAACCGAAGAAGUGCAUCGGAAACUGGGAAACUUGAGUGCAGAAGAGGACAGUGGAACUCCAUGUGUAGCGGUGAAAUGCGUAGAUAUAUGGAAGAACACCAGUGGCGAAGGCGGCUGUCUGGUCUGUAACUGACGCUGAGGCUCGAAAGUAUGGGUAGCAAACAGGAUUAGAUACCCUGGUAGUCCAUACCGUAAACGAUGAAUGCUAAGUGUUGGAGGGUUUCCGCCCUUCAGUGCUGCAGCUAACGCAUUAAGCAUUCCGCCUGGGGAGUACGGCCGCAAGGCUGAAACUCAAAGGAAUUGACGGGGGCCCGCACAAGCGGUGGAGCAUGUGGUUUAAUUCGAAGCUACGCGAAGAACCUUACCAGGUCUUGACAUACUAUGCAAAUCUAAGAGAUUAGACGUUCCCUU